rnacentral:rRNA from 1 species
UAAGGAAUAUUGGUCAAUGCCCGCAAGGGUGAACCAGCCAUUCCGCGUGGAGGAUGAAGGCCCUAUGGGUUGUAAACUUCUUUUAGAUGGGAAGAAAAUGCUAGAUUUUUCUGGUACUGACGGUACCAUCAGAAUAAGCACCGGCUAACUCCGUGCCAGCAGCCGCGGUAAUACGGAGGGUGCGAGCGUUAUCCGGAAUUACUGGGUUUAAAGGGUGCGUAGGCGGAUGAUUAAGUCUAAGGUGAAAGUUUGUCGCUUAACGAUAAAAUUGCCUUGGAUACUGGUUAUCUUGAAUAAGGAUGAGGAUGGCGGAAUGUGGCAUGUAGCGGUGAAAUGCAUAGAUAUGCCAUAGAACACCAAUUGCGAAGGCAGCUAUCUGGUCUUUUAUUGACGCUGAGGCACGAAAGCGUGGGGAUCGAACAGG